rnacentral:lncRNA from 1 species
CAGGAUUCCUGUUUAAAGGUGGAAUUUUAGCUGGGACUUGGAGAGAAACCAGAAGGCUGAGAAGAGGAGGUAGAGCCUUCCUUGUAUGGAGUACAACCAUGAAAAGUGCCCAAAGGUGAAAAAGUGUCUUAUUUGAGGAACAUGAAGGAGACUGUUGUCACUGGAUCAAGAUGGGGAUGGGUAAGACAGAAGAGGUCUGGAAAGACAUUGAGGGUGAGGCUAGAUUAUGAAGGACUUUGUUGCAGUAGUCCUGAACUCAAAUGGUUGGGAUGUUAGCAACAGACCUUGGCAACAGAUUUGGUUUUGGGGAUACGAACUGAGGAAUCAAGAAUAACAAUGAGGUUGCUAGCUGAGGUGAUUGGGAGAAUAGUAGUGCCCUACACAGGAUGAGUGGAGUUCAGAAAGGAGAAGGGUCGAGGGAAAGAUAACGAGUUCUGUUUUGUACAUGUUUAGAUGAAGAUGGCUAUGAAACAUCCCAGGUCUGUCUUCAUUAUUGGAGAUGAAACACUGGAGGUCAGCAGAGAGGUCACUGAGAGAUUGCCAGAGAGACUCCUCUGAGAUACCUAUAAGUUACCUACUUGGUUAGUGCCAUGUCUGGGUGAAGAUCCAGUGUUUGGACACUGAGAAAGAUCAGUUGGAGAGGUAGGAGAACCAGAGUCACAAGGUUUCAAGAAAAAGAAGGAGACCUACUAGGACUGCCAAAAAGCUAUAGAGAGGUCAGGGAUGAGGACGGAGAAAAGACCAUUCGUUUUGGCAGAGAAGAGAUCAUUAUUAAUUCCAAAGAAAACAGGUUAGUUGAAUGAUAAGGUUGGAAACUGAACCAUAGAGAUUUAAGAAGAAAAUGAGAGGGGAGUUCUGUCCAAUAAGUAUAUGUAUACAGUAGCAUCAGUUUGGGGACUCAGCCCAAAGAUAUUAAGGGGGUCAGAAAACUGAUCACAGGACACCUGUUGCUAACAUUGGGUACAACUGGCACUGAUUGACAGCUCUAUUCUGCUCUAGUUCCAGAGUAGAGAGGAACACUUAAGAUGGCUCAUAAGAGAGCAGAGGUCCAGGGCCAAGAGGAGCUCUAGCACUUGCAAUAGCAGGGCAACAAGGCACAUGGUCACAGUUCCAGGGCCAAGUAGCUAGAGUUUGUGGCUAUCAGAGAGCAAGGUUCCUUCCUGGGUAAAUAACAGAGCAUAGACCAGUAGAGCAAUAAUCACAUCUUUCCAACGAUCCCACUAUCUUAGAAGCACCAAAAAUAUGGACUCCUAGAAUUAGCUGUGAAAACAGCACAAAAAACCCUGAAACUUGGGACAGUGCCUCCCAAACCUAGGUGAAUAAGAGUCCAGCUUUAAAGUUCAAAGUCUAGAAAUAGGCAAGAAAAAUGAGCAACAACAGUAACCAUAAAGCAAUGGUGGUAGAAAAGACUAAGACAAACUCAGAAGACAAUAACAUGAAAACAGCUCUAACCAAGAUAUCAAAGAAAAUGCUAACUGAACACGGCCCAAAAAGAAUUCCUGAGAGAGAACAUAAUGAGGAAAAGAGAAAAAAUU